rnacentral:sRNA from 1 species
CCCAGAGGUAUUGAUUGGUGAGAAUUCUAGUUACGUUGUUAAGUAAAUUCUUUGCACCGACCUGCGCAGAUGCGCAGGUUUUUUUU